rnacentral:rRNA from 1 species
GGUGAGUAAUGCCUAGGAAAUUGCCUUGAUGUGGGGGAUAACCAUUGGAAACGAUGGCUAAUACCGCAUGAUGCCUACGGGCCAAAGAGGGGGACCUUCGGGCCUCUCGCGUCAAGAUAUGCCUAGGUGGGAUUAGCUAGUUGGUGAGGUAAUGGCUCACCAAGGCGACGAUCCCUAGCUGGUCUGAGAGGAUGAUCAGCCACACUGGAACUGAGACACGGUCCAGACUCCUACGGGAGGCAGCAGUGGGGAAUAUUGCACAAUGGGCGAAAGCCUGAUGCAGCCAUGCCGCGUGUAUGAAGAAGGCCUUCGGGUUGUAAAGUACUUU